rnacentral:misc_RNA from 1 species
UGAAAGCCCAAAAUCAGCAACUUUAGCAACAAGCUCUUCAUCAAGCAAGAUGUUAGUGGACUUAACGUCACGGUGAAUAAAUCCUCCAGCGGCACCCCUAUGGAGAUAGUGAAGGCCCUUUGCUGCACCAAUGCAAAUUUCAAGCCUUUGCGUCCAGGAUAAGGAAGGCAGAGCUAAGUUAUACAGGUGAUCCCUCAGUGCACCCUUUUCCAUGAAUUCAUAAAC